rnacentral:lncRNA from 1 species
AGCUCUUUCCAAAUAGUUGCAUCUUUCCAGUCGACUUCCAGCUGCGAGUUAACUCUGAGCCUCCAUGCACCGUUCAUAUGAACAAGGAUGCCUUAAUGUGCUCAUUUACUGCUUUGAGAAUUAGAAGGGGAUCUUUGAUUUCAAACAUGCAGCUCGGUGCAGUCAGCCAAGGAAUGCUCCAGGCAAAGCUGGAGGAAGCGUGCUUGGGUCCGACUGACCCGCUUGAGGAGCGACAGUAAGGCCACAGUCUGUUCACACUCGUUCCAUCCCUUAAACCAGCCGGCGAGGACUCCCACCUGGUCACGAAACAUCAUGAUCUGUUGGCCAGGCUCACGAUACAAGACUUGACAAGAGAAAAGACUGAGGCUUAUCCAACAAAAUUGCACUCGCUUCCACUGUCACUUGAGGUUUGGCAAAGAAGAACAGCCCUUUAAGGUGUUAUUUGCUAUUAGUAGGUACCAAUGUAUUGCAUCUUUCUUCUUGGGUUUUGGAGUUGCACCUGGUGUGGGGGAAUCCCUGUACGAAGCUUUUGAGAUUGAUGUUUAGUUGGUGCUCUUCAAGUCCUCUGGCCACUUACAAAAUGUUCCUCAGCUUUCUUCCAGCAUACAGUGACUGUCCAGCUUUAGCCUUGAUGGCAUUUUCAAUAGAGAACAUCCCUUUUCUGUGAAAGGAAAGGAUGGAGAUUGUAUAAAUACAUACACAAUGAGUAGCCCCACACAGAAUUUCAGUAUUUACAAUAAGUUUAGUAAAAUUAUCCAGAUUAUUUAUGUAGAACUCAAUUUGUAAAGUAAUAUUUUCUGUAUUUUACUGGAUGGGUUAUAUGAGAGAUUUACUGUAGGUUUUGUUCAUCAAACAAGUAGAUCUAAUUGGAUUUGCAUUGUAAACCUUAAAUACAAGUAAAGAAGAUACUUAUUUACUUCAUGUGUUAAGUUUUCAACUUCUGUACUCUCAAUAAAAUUUCAUUGAAAA